rnacentral:rRNA from 1 species
AAGUCGUAACAAGGUCUCCGUUGGUGAACCAGCGGAGGGAUCAUUACCGAGUUUACAACUCCCAAACCCAAUGUGAACGUUACCAAACUGUUGCCUCGGCGGGAUCUCUGCCCCGGGUGCGUCGCAGCCCCGGACCAAGGCGCCCGCCGGAGGACCAACCUAAAACUCUUAUUGUAUACCCCCUCGCGGGUUUUUUUUAUAAUCUGAGCCUUCUCGGCGCCUCUCGUAGGCGUUUCGAAAAUGAAUCAAAACUUUCAACAACGGAUCUCUUGGUUCUGGCAUCGAUGAAGAACGCAGCGAAAUGCGAUAAGUAAUGUGAAUUGCAGAAUUCAGUGAAUCAUCGAAUCUUUGAACGCACAUUGCGCCCGCCAGUAUUCUGGCGGGCAUGCCUGUCCGAGCGUCAUUUCAACCCUCGAACCCCUCCGGGGGGUCGGCGUUGGGGAUCGGCCCUCCCUUAGCGGGUGGCCGUCUCCGAAAUACAGUGGCGGUCUCGCCGCAGCCUCUCCUGCGCAGUAGUUUGCACACUCGCAUCGGGAGCGCGGCGCGUCCACAGCCGUUAAACACCCAACUUCUGAAAUGUUGACCUCGGAUCAGGUAGGAAUACCCGCUGAACUUAA